rnacentral:rRNA from 1 species
GUCCACGCUGUAAACGAUGAUCACUAGAUGUGGGUUUUGCUAUAUGCGAGAUCUGUGUCGAAGCUAACGCGUUAAGUGAUCCGCCUGGGAAUUACGGUAGCAAGAUUAAAACUCAAAGGAAUUGACGGGGGUCCGCACAAGCGGUGGAACAUGUGGUUUAAUUCGACACUACGCGAGGAACCUUACCUGGGUUUGACAUGUAACUGCUACUGGUGGAAACAUUGGGUUCUAUAGCAAUAUAGACGGUUACACAGGUGCUGCAUGGCUGUCGU